UACGUAGGUGGCAAGCGUUGUCCGGAUUACUGGGCGUAAAGAGCGCGCAGGCGGUCGAUCAAGUCGCGUGUGAAAGCCCCCCGGCUCAACUGGGGAGGGUCAUUCGAAACUGUCCAACUCGAAGGCAGGAGAGGGAAGCGGAAUUCCCGGUGUAGUGGUGAAAUGCGUAGAUAUCGAGAGGAACACCUGCGGCGAAGGCGGGUCUCUGGGCCACUACUGACGCUGAGAAGGCGAAAGCGUGGGGAGCGAACGAGG
rnacentral:rRNA from 1 species